rnacentral:rRNA from 3 species
AGACCCGAAACCCGGUGAUCUAGCCAUGGGCAGGUUGAAGGUUGGGUAACACUAACUGGAGGACCGAACCGACUAAUGUUGAAAAAUUAGCGGAUGACCUGUGGCUGGGGGUGAAAGGCCAAUCAAACCGGGAGAUAGCUGGUUCUCCCCGAAAGCUAUUUAGGUAGCGCCUCGUGAAUUCAUCUCCGGGGGUAGAGCACUGUUUCGGCUAGGGGGCCAUCCCGGCUUACCAACCCGAUGCAAACUGCGAAUACCGGAGAAUGUUAUCACGGGAGACACACGGCGGGUGCUAACGUCCGUCGUGAAGAGGGAAACAACCCAGACCGCCAGCUAAGGUCCCAAAGUCAUGGUUAAGUGGGAAACGAUGUGGGAAGGCCCAGACAGCCAGGAUGUUGGCUUAGAAGCAGCCAUCAUUUAAAGAAAGCGUAAUAGCUCACUGGUCGAGUCGGCCUGCGCGGAAGAUGUAACGGGGCUAAACCAUGCACCGAAGCUGCGGCAGCGACACUGUGUGUUGUUGGGUAGGGGAGCGUUCUGUAAGCCUGUGAAGGUGGCCUGUGAGGGUUGCUGGAGGUAUCAGAAGUGCGAAUGCUGACAUAAGUAACGAUAAAGCGGGUGAAAAGCCCGCUCGCCGGAAGACCAAGGGUUCCUGUCCAACGUUAAUCGGGGCAGGGUGAGUCGACCCCUAAGGCGAGGCCGAAAGGCGUAGUCGAUGGGAAACAGGUUAAUAUUCCUGUACUUGGUGUUACUGCGAAGGGGGGACGGAGAAGGCUAUGUUGGCCGGGCGACGGUUGUCCCGGUUUAAGCGUGUAGGUGUGUGUUCCAGGUAAAUCCGGUUCACUUUAACACUGAGGCGUGAUGACGAGGCACUACGGUGCUGAAGCAACAAAUGCCCUGCUUCCAGGAAAAGCCUCUAAGCAUCAGGUAACAUCAAAUCGUACCCCAAACCGACACAGGUGGUCAGGUAGAGAAUACCAAGGCGCUUGAGAGAACUCGGGUGAAGGAACUAGGCAAAAUGGUGCCGUAACUUCGGGAGAAGGCACGCUGACACGUAGGUGAAGUGAUUUACUCAUGGAGCUGAAGUCAGUCGAAGAUACCAGCUGGCUGCAACUGUUUAUUAAAAACACAGCACUGUGCAAACACGAAAGUGGACGUAUACGGUGUGACGCCUGCCCGGUGCCGGAAGGUUAAUUGAUGGGGUCAGCGCAAGCGAAGCUCCUGAUCGAAGCCCCGGUAAACGGCGGCCGUAACUAUAACGGUCCUAAGGUAGCGAAAUUCCUUGUCGGGUAAGUUCCGACCUGCACGAAUGGCGUAAUGAUGGCCAGGCUGUCUCCACCCGAGACUCAGUGAAAUUGAACUCGCUGUGAAGAUGCAGUGUACCCGCGGCAAGACGGAAAGACCCCGUGAACCUUUACUAUAGCUUGACACUGAACAUUGAGCCUUGAUGUGUAG